CGGCUUUCGACGGCCGUGUGACUCGGCGAUUUCAAACAAAAUAAUAUUUCAACCGAUCGUGCAGUUAAACCGGGUUGUGUCGGGUUUAUAUUGGUAGAUUUUUCCGGAGAGUACACUAGCCUACUAUUCACCGCACUCAAUCUGCUCUACUACACACUAGGAUAGUAUAGCGAUAUAGUGGAGUGUACUCUACCACGGUGGUAUAGUAUACUCUACUCUACCAUUAAUUCACUACACCGAUUAAUCUAUUCAAUACCCGUACACUCGCAAAUAAUCUAACAAUGUAAACCCGGCUUAACGCGAUCAUAAUAUUUCGAUAGAUACCGGCCUUCUCCCCGUAUAGUUAUUGUGAACAUAAUCAAAAUAAUUAUGUCGAAACAAUCACAACGGAAAAUCUCUUAAAUCAACUUUAACUAUACGUAUAUAAUGGGGAAUGAGAGUUUUCGUUGAUGUUCGCAAUAUAAGAGGAAACAAAACCGCAAUAUGGUGAAAAUAUUAUUUUCGUUGGUGGUUUUAUAACAUAAUAAAAAUAUACGGGGAACGGGGAUACCUAAAUUUUGUUUUAUUUUUUUGUUUUGUUAUUGAUAUCUGCCAUCAGGUUUAUUUUUCGGAUAACCAAAACCAAAGUAAUAAUUUCAUUUUCAUCCCUAUUUCAGAUAACAAAGGGCACGGGAACGGCGAAUAAAUAUGGAUUUAAAAAAACAAAAACGAAUUUAAAGUGGCGGUUUAGGUAUACUCACCGGGAUAAUUUCUGAAAGCGUACGUCAUACGUUUUGACAACUAAAACUACCAGCGAAAAUAAUGUGUUUCACCUUUCUUGCGUUAUUUAAUUUUAUAAUUUUACUUUUAUCGUCUCCAGAAAGCCACUCGUUUGAAACAUAACAUUAUGUUUGAUGAACUCGUUGCAUAUGAGUCGACGACAAACUGUCCGAAGCUGUGAGCCUAAAUCGUAUCUUACUCGUGUGUGCAUAAUAAAAAAUAAUAUUACUGUUAAACAUUAAGUUACGAAAAUUGUAAACUUUUUUUUUGUUUUUGGGCUAUGUGAAAUAAUAAUAAUAUUCAUACAUAAAUAAUAACAUUAUUAUUAAUUAUUAUAUAUAUUAUUAGUUUGAAAUAAUUAUAUUUUGGUGUAUGAGAUCUUAUAUCUCGUCAAUAUACAGCUAUCAGAAAAACGAUAAGGGGCCGAGCACAACGUGUCACUGUUGUCAAUCAUCACACACCAAAAUGCCAUAAUUUCGUAUUUUGGUUCUUGUGCGUUAUAGUGACUUCGACACGGGACAUUAUUACUUCACAAAAGAAACUCGCCAUCCGAGAAGGCAUCAUCCGGUGAUCCCUUCUUUUUUUCCAUCAUCUGACGUGGUUUUUCAACAACAAAAUGUUUUCGGUUUUCACAAUUCACUUAUUAGGACGUCAACUUAGUUCUCGGUUACUGCGGGCUGCUGUAUAAUAACUACGAUUCCCUUCCCAUUUUUCUGAAAACUGUAUAUUAUAGUUAUCCAUUAUCAAGUCUCACGUUUUAUAAUAAUAUUUUAAUAUCGAUAAGCGAAUUUUUUGUUAUCAUCUAUUUGUUUUAUUAUUUUAUAACCAAACAUUUCGUAGCACGGUUUACCUGUCUCUCCGUGGGGAUAAAAACGUUACUCGUAAUGUACCAGAUAAUUGUGAUGAUCCCCAUGUGUUUAAGCAAAUCAUAGUCACUCACGAGUUAAAUAUCUGUAAAUAUAAAAAAAAAGUUUAAAAAAAAUGUCAUUACAAUUUGUGUGCGAUUGUAAAUAAUAAACGAUACAUUUGUGCGC